GGAUUGUGGCUUAGUGGUAGAGCACUUGCCUAGUACAUCUGAGGUACCUGGGUUCAAUCCUCAGCACCA
rnacentral:tRNA from 1 species